CCAUUCACAGCUGCUGCUGACCAUUGUUGGAGAGUUGGACUACAGACUGGACAUCGCUGUUGCCGGGAUGGCCUGGAACGAAAGUUUCGGGAAAGAUGAGUACUAUCUCUUCUCAUCAGAGCGAAACCCAGUCAUCACCGCCUUCCAUUUAUGACCCCUUGGGAAAUUCCGGGCCCAGGAGAACUAAAGAGGAACUCUGAUCUGGCAACAUCGUUGUGCCGAGAACCUUCACAUCAGCUUCAGCCCUAAAGACUGUCGUAGCAGUUAGGAAGCUUUCUGUCGGUGUUCCUGUUUACCAUAUCGGCUGCAGCCUCCAGGAUUUCAAGUAGAGUGGGAUGGCUUACUACUGCAUGAGUUUUAGAAGGAAUCUUAAAAGAAUUGGUUCUGCC
rnacentral:lncRNA from 1 species